rnacentral:tRNA from 1 species
GCCACCCUAGCUCAGUUGGUAGAGCAAUGGUUUCGUAAACCAUAGGUCAGCGGUUCAAGUCCGCUGGGUGGCU